AUCUUAUACACACAUUGGAAAUAGUGGCAACACUUUAGUAUAGGGACAAAUUCUCACUUUUAACUAGUUUCUUAUUAGUUUAUUGUCUGUUUAUAAGUGCUUAUAAAGAACAUAUUAAUGCCUUAUUCUGCAUACCAUAUUGUACAUUCCUUAACCCAAUCCAACACCUAAACCCAACCGCCACAACAACUAUUAGCUUUUAAGUAGGAGUGAAUUGGGAGUUUACUGAGGCAAAAGUCACAGUUAAUAAUCAAUAAGUGUACUAAAGUGUUAGCGAAACAGUUUAUUUUACUAUGUUUUAUUUCCUUUUUUUAAUGCAUUUAUAAUGUAACCAUUUCAAUUGUAAUUAAGUCAGUACAAAUCAGUUGUUUAGUGUGCUUUAAUGUUUAAACGCUACCGAUUGCAGUAAAAUAUAUUCAUAUUCUAGCAAUGCUCUGCCACAUAUUUUGCUAUCAUAACUGCGCUUAUUUUCUUAUUGGUAUAAGUUGCAGACAAGUGGUAAUUGACAAGAAAUACACAGUUUUGCUGUUAGCGUUUCUUAGUCAUUUAGGUGUUUCUACAGCCUGAACCACCACCCUUAGAGAGGCUUUGGCUCAUUGAGGCCUAUAAGGGUUAAACCACUUCACGUGUUUUUUAGACUUCUGUUUAGCCUUGCAAUCAUGUUUUAUAUUUGAUGUAUUUUGUUCUGAAUGUUAAAGAUAAUCAAAUGUUUUUGAACAUUGAUAACAACUUUUAACAAAAUAAAUUUGAAGAAAUGUGAUGUAUGAAAGGUUUUCUGAAUAGCCAAUAUUAUAAUUGUCAAUGUUUGAUUAAUAAACAGUGAAGAGUGAUACUGCA